GUGCACAGUCCACACCCACGGGGUGGGUUUUUCCAGGCACCUCUGGCGCCCCAGUGAUGCCUCGUGGUUUGGUUUGCCUCCUCUUAGGAAGGGACUAAACAACAGAUUCCUGGUGAGGCCAGCGUGAGAGAUGGAAAUGAAGGAAGCCAGAAGUGAAGCGACCAGCUCAGGUGAUACAGCUAGAAAGUGCUUUAGAGCUGGGGCCAUGGGCAGAUGAGCUGACCACAGGUCACACUCCUGACACCAAACCUGGCUCUGCGAAGAUGAUGUCGAAGAACUCCUCCUCGGCCUUGCUGACCAGCGCCUCCAGGUCUACGGCCAGCUCCUCAUCGGUCUGCU
rnacentral:lncRNA from 1 species